UACAGAGGUCUCAAGCGUUGUUCGGAUUCAUUGGGCGUAAAGGGCGCGUAGGCGGCGGGGUAAGUCGGGUGUGAAAUCUCAGAGCUCAACUCUGAAAUGGCACUUGAUACUGCUCUGCUAGAGGAGUGGAGAGGAGAUUGGAAUUCACGGUGUAGCAGUGAAAUGCGUAGAUAUCGUGAGGAAGACCGGUGGCGGAAGGCGGAAUCGUC
rnacentral:rRNA from 1 species